rnacentral:tRNA from 1 species
GGGUCUAUAGCUCAGUUGGUUAGAGCGCACCGCUCAUAACGGUAAGGUCGCAGGUUCAAGUCCUGCUAGACCCA